rnacentral:rRNA from 1 species
UUGGAGGGCAAGUCUGGUGCCAGCAGCCGCGGUAAUUCCAGCUCCAAUAGCGUAUAUUAAAGUUGUUGCAGUUAAAAAGCUCGUAGUUGAAUUUCGGGGUCAGUAGGUUGGUCAUGCCACUGGUAUGUACUGGUCUCACUGAUUCCUCCUUCCUGAUGAGCUGUAAUGCCAUUAAUUUGGUGUUGCGGGGAAUCUGGACUGUUACUUUGAAAAAAUUAGAGUGUUUAAAGCAGGCUAACGCCUGAAUACAUUAGCAUGGAAUAAUGAAAUAGGACGUUCGAUCCUAUUUUGUUGGUUUCUAGGAUUGACGUAAUGAUUAAUAGGGAUAGUUGGGGGCAUUAGUAUUCAAUUGUCAGAGGUGGAAUUCUUGGAUUUAUUGAAGACUAACUACUGCGAAAGCAUUUGCCAAGGAUGUUUUCAUUAAUCAAGAACGAAAGUUAGGGGAUCGAAGACGAUCAGAUACCGUCGUAGUCUUAACCAUAAACUAUGCCGACUAGGGAUCGGAUGAUGUUAAUUUUUUAAUGACUCAUUCGGCGCCUUACGGGAAAC